rnacentral:lncRNA from 1 species
AAGUCUUGGAUCGAUGGAGUACUGUCCUGAUUGGUUGGUCGGUAAGAAUGCCAAUAGUAUGUGCUUGAAAGUAUGGGUGCAAUUAUUUUGAGAAGAUUAUAAGGGCAUAAACCAUCUUUUCCAGCUUCAUGUAUCUGACCUCCACAUUAUGAAGGAUCCAGCUCGCAUAGUACACGGGCUUCUGCACCUUGGCUUUCUGUUGGAUGAGGACUGAGCUGAUUGCUAGAGGUG